rnacentral:rRNA from 1 species
CACGUAGGGGGCAAGCGUUGUCCGGAUUUAUUGGGCGUAAAGAGCUCGUAGGCUGUUCGAUAAGUCGGGUGUGAAACCUCCAGGCUCAACCUGGAGACGCCACCCGAUACUGUCAUGACUAGAGUCCGGUAGGGGAGCGUGGAAUUCCUGGUGUAGCGGUGAAAUGCGCAGAUAUCAGGAGGAACACCAGCGGCGAAGGCGGCGCUCUGGGCAGGUACUGACGCUGAGGAGCGAAAGCGUGGGUAGCAAACAGG